rnacentral:rRNA from 1 species
UACGGAGGAUCCGAGCGUUAUCCGGAUUUAUUGGGUUUAAAGGGUGCGCAGGCGGGAGAUUAAGUCGGCGGUGAAAUUUUGCAGCUCAACUGUAAAAGUGCCUUCGAAACUGGUUUCCUUGAGUGUAGAUGAAGUAGGCGGAAUUUGUGGUGUAGCGGUGAAAUGCUUAGAUAUCACGAGGAACUCCGAUUGCGCAGGCAGCUUACUAAACCAUAACUGACGCUCAGGCACGAAGGCGUGGGGAUCAAACAGGAUUAGAUACCCGGGUAGUCCCU